rnacentral:lncRNA from 1 species
CGACGAUUCUUUUUGUAAGAUUGAUCUCCUCAAACUCUGUUUUUCUUAUAAGUGUGUCUCCUCUGUUACCCAAAAAGAUAACGACAAAAUUAUGUUUCCUAAUUAUUUGUUACACCCUCAGUUUUUGGCUGAUUUGAAUCAAAGCAAUCCGGUGAAAUGUUUCAAGAGUUAUAUUCCUUUUGUCGAUAUGUUUUUGUGACUCAUUAACCGUAAGCCGUAUAAACCUAUUGUCUAUAUAUUUGAGUUCCCUAGAAGAUAAGGUCAUGGUCAAAGGUUGUUGUUACUCGAGCCCGGCAAUUUUGAUAAGAUCAGAGUAAACAUUUUGAUGCUUAAAAUAAACAGAUUCUUGUAAAAUG